rnacentral:rRNA from 1 species
UACGUAGGUGGCGAGCGUUGUCCGGAUUUAUUGGGCGUAAAGGGAGUGUAGGCGGUCUUUUAAGUCUGAUGUGAAAGCCCACGGCUCAACCGGGGAGCGUCAUUGGAAACUGGUGGACUUGAGUGCAGAAGAGGAGAGUGGAAUUCCAUGUGUAGCGGUGAAAUGCGUAGAUAUGUGGAGGAACACCAGUGGCGAAGGCAACUGUCUGGUCUGUAACUGACGCUGAGGCUCGAAAGCGUGGGUAGCAAACAGG